GUGAACGAUUAGAUACCUUGAUUUGAUGUUGCUUGCUACCCUGAGUGUCUAAAAACGAGUAGUAUCAAUAAGCCGAUUUCAACUGAAACAUGAGAAUUUUGUGAUGGUUAGUGCACAUAAGUGCUUUAAAUCUUCAAAUUUGUUGAGCCUAUUGUUUUACAGAAUACUAGGCUAUUUGACAAUAUUUUGGGUGUAGAGUUAGAGGUGUCUAGUGUUUAUGCAUACAAGUGUUUUAGGC
rnacentral:lncRNA from 7 species